AUUGAACGCUGGCGGCAUGCCUUACACAUGCAAGUCGAACGGUAACAGGUUAAGCUGACGAGUGGCGAACGGGUGAGUAAUGUAUCGGAACGUGCCCCAUCGUGAGGGAUAACUUCUCGAAAGAGCAGCUAAUACCGCAUACGAUCUGAGGGUGAACGCGGGACAUGGCAAAGCCGCGCACCAUUGGACCUGCCGAUAUCAGAUUAGGUAGUUGGUGAGGUAAAGGCUCACCAAGCCGACGAUCUGUAACUGGUCUGAGAGGACGACCAGCCACACUGGGACUGAGACACGGCCCAGACUCCUACGGGAGGCAGCAGUGGGGAAUUUUGGACAAUGGGCGCAAGCCUGAUCCAGCCAUGCCGCGUGCGUGAAGAAGGCCUUCGGGUUGUAAACCGCUUUUGUCAGGGAAGAAAAGGUUCUGGCUAAUACCUGGGACUCAUGACGGUACCUGAAGAAUAAGCACCGGCUAACUACGUG
rnacentral:rRNA from 1 species